rnacentral:rRNA from 1 species
UACGAAGGGGGCUAGCGUUGCUCGGAAUCACUGGGCGUAAAGAGCUCGUAGGCGGUGUGUCGCGUCGGCCGUGAAAACUUGCAGCUUAACUGUGGGCGUGCGGUCGAUACGGGCAUCACUGGAGUUCGGCAGGGGAGACUGGAAUUCCUGGUGUAGCGGUGAAAUGCGCAGAUAUCUGGAGGAACACCGGUGGCGAAGGCGGCAUCCUGGACCAAUAUUGACGCUGAGGAGCGAAAGCCAGGGGAGCAAACGGG